rnacentral:lncRNA from 1 species
CUUCCUCCAUUGAUUCUUCAUCUCCUUUAGAGCAUCCAAGAGAUCAAGAGAAGAAGAUGUAGUUCAGCCCACAAAGAUCCUUGCGAGUUAGCACUCCCGAGGAGCCUGAUCUGCAUCGAUCUUCAUAUGGAUGAUUUGUAGAAGCCAGAUACCUUUGUGUGACCGUGAGCAACCUGAAGGAGCACCUAUCCACAUGUUGAACUAGCAGAGAUCAAUAGAUUACAGUUCAG